rnacentral:rRNA from 1 species
UGCUGCCUACGGGGGGCAGCAGUGAGGAAUAUUGGUCAAUGGUCGGGAGACUGAACCAGCCAAGCCGCGUGAGGGAGGAAGGUACAGAGUAUCGUAAACCUCUUUUGUCAGGGAACAAAGACUGGGACGCGUCCCCGGAUGAGGGUACCUGAAGAAAAAGCAUCGGCUAACUCCGUGCCAGCAGCCGCGGUAAUACGGAGGAUGCGAGCGUUAUCCGGAUUUAUUGGGUUUAAAGGGUACGCAGGCGGCCUGUUAAGUCAGCGGUAAAAGCCCGGGGCUCAACCCCGGCGAGCCGUUGAAACUGG